GGAAGGGUGGCAGAGCGGUUGAAUGCGGCGGUCUUGAAAACCGUUAGGCCGCGUGAGCGGUCUCCCGGGUUCGAAUCCCGGCCCUUCCG
rnacentral:tRNA from 1 species